GGUAGACUGCAUAUUCCAUCUCUUUUGUACAAUGGAAGAAUAAACAAUUCCCUGAGUAAGUGUGUGCUGCAAGUCCAUUACUUCACUUAAUUUCCUGGAGAAAAGAGGAAAGGAAAGCCUUCUGUGGUACAGCAGAUGAAGUUUGUCUGGAAGUCCCUGUCUCUGCAGAGUGGGACUGCAAUAUUUAAGAAGAAAAAAUUAAUCAUCAGGCCAUCAUGUUCAUCCUCCAUCAAGAAGAGAGAAAAAUUUUCUUUGAAACUCAAGGAAAAUUUUCUGCAAGCCUUGACUGCCCUUUCUCACAAGAGCAAACUGUAGUGAAGCAAUCCAAAGCCAACAAGAUUUAUGGCAGAAACAAUCUCCUGAUUUUAGAUACCAGCUCCGUAAGCCAUCCAGCCUUCCUCAGAAGCCACAAGGAAAGGGAAAGGGGGAACUGAGACUUCAAUCCUGAACCUGAACCACUGAAAGGAGAACAAAAGGACUCUGACAGGAGAUUUCUUACCUACAAGCCUCAUGAAAGCAAGUGAGCUGCUACUGCCAAGUAGUCCCUGGCCACCUAAAUCUGCUUCAUUACUGGUUAGUCAAAUGGAAAGAAAACUUUUUUCUUUUCUCUGCAUCAAAAUAUUUUGAAAUAACAAUAACAAAAUAAUAGUUAUAUUAAUUUCAGAAUAUUUUGAAUCACCCAGUCUUGAGAGGAUAUCUGGCAUAUCCUAAGGGAAAUGUCACUGUACUGGAGAUCUAGGGACAUGGACCAUUCAUUUCCUCUAACUUUUCAAGAGCAUGAGUCUUUCUCUAGCUCUCGUUGAGAGCUUUGAUGGAGUUGGAAAGAUAGUCUGUUGUAGAACAUUUUCUUAUUUCAGCCUUUAGCAGAAAAUUACACAGUAUUGCAUGUGGUAAUUUAUUUUUAGGAAUCAAGAUGUCCAUAUCAGACUGUUCAAAGACACUGACUAUUUCAGAAUAAGCAGAUGCUGGAUGAAUGUUUUUAUGGUUUGCAUAUACACACCAAACUCUUAAAUGUAGAUAUCUACAAACCAGAAUACCUUUGCUUAUAAAACAGCUCCAGUUUGCAUCACUGCAGACUAACAAAUACAGCAUUGAGGAGAUAAUAAUAACAGUUAUAUAUUUAUAUAACUGUAAAUACCAGCAUGGAGCAGAAACACACUAAUGCACUUUGUCUGGUAUAUUAGUGAGUAUUUGACCUCUUUCCCUUAGGCCCCAGUUUCUGAAAUAGCAUGGAAAUCAAUUUUUCUACUUAACAAAUUCCCCUCACUAUUGCUAAAAAUUACUUACCAACAGGUCCAAAUCACUAAUUCUUUUUAUAAUCAGCCCCUCAAUUAUGUGGAGAUAAAGGCACAGCCCAUCAAGCUCCAGGUAACUACAGGUGCUGAGUGCCAUCAUGAGCUUGCUUUGGAAAGUGCCUGUCCUCUGCACCCAGGAGCUGGGGAUCAGCAGGCUGUGCCAAAACAAAUCCUCAUACAUUCCCUCUUCCUUCAAUAGACACAUCUGCUUUUCUCUUGACUCUGAUUACUGGGAAUGGACUGCUGAAAGCCCCCACACAGUCAGGUAGUUUCAAUUCCUUUUCUAAGCAGUGUGUGUGGAUGUUGUGUGCAACAGGGGUAAGCACUUUUUAGUCAUAGCCUGCCUUGCUGAGGGCUUUGGAGGUAUAUCCAGAGCCAUACUUGGACACAAAUCUCUAGACUUAAACUGUGUGUAAGCUGCACGGUAAAUGCAUCCCAGGAAGUGAUUUAGCACAGAAAAUUGCAUAUUGGAUCAUUUUGCCUUUUCUAAAGACACUGUGGAUAGCUGGGGACACUAGUAAAAAUCCUUUAUGUGAGGAUCUCCUGGCCCUGUGUGCACUGUUGUGGAGGUUGGCAUUUCUCCAGGAUUUCCCAGAUCCAGCACUUGAAAAUAAAAAUUAUGCAAGAUAUUGACAAUAAAAAAGUGCAUAUUUUUUGUUCAAGAGGGCUUCCUGUCAAUUGCAAUGAAUCUCCAGACAUUGUUUGAAAUUUGCAGUUCCCCAAUUUUCAGCUUGGAAAGGAUAAAGUCCCCAGUCUGCUUGUAAAUGACUCAUUUCCUGAGUGCCACACAAACCCAGCUAGUUAGAGGUGAUUUCUCUGUGCAUGGCAAAUGAAAGGCUCUGGAAAAACUGAAAUUCAGAAGUUGUUAGGAUCUGGAGCUCUUGUUAGAGCUAGACCUAAUCAUAAGAUAAUAGUAUUGUAUCUAUACUAAUCAUGAAUCAUGAUCAAGUUUUAGCUGGACCUCCCCUUAGUGAUAGGAGUGGCAGUAUAAUCUAAUGACACACAUGGAAGGCCUUCAAAGGAAUGAUAUUGACUUGGUCCUUUGACAGAUGGAGAAAAGGAGGUAAAUGCAGAGCAUUUACCUGCAGAGCAGGUAAAUUAAUUGCCCCAAAAGCCUGAGGGAAGAGUCAGUUUCAGACAAAUUCCUGCAAGUACUUUUGGUCUCUUAUAAUACAUGUGAAGGCAUUUCUAAUGCUCCUGAGGAAAAGAGGAAUGAACUUGUCUUUAACCUCUGUGCAUGACAGCUCAUCUUUAAAAAUGUGGGUGUCUUCAUUAUGACCAACAAGAUGGAGGCAGCCCCUUGUGCCAGUCUGCCCUGGAGAGUGAGACACACAGACAUGUUACAGACACUCAUUUCCUGCCUUAGGCAACUUUACUCUUUCACUUAGAAGAGUCAGGAAAAAACCACAGAGUUGCUCUGCAGUGAGGUGAGUGAAAUUGCUGGAGACCCUGGAGUACAAAGGUUAUUAAGGAAACAAAGGUGCCUACUAUAAAUCUAUGCACGGAUAAUCCUCUUUACUCCCAAAUAUACAAUAAGAAAUAUCCUAAGAAUAUAAACAGAGAGGUUUUUUUUUUUAAUGUUGGCUUGUUUUGUUUACCUACUUUGUUUCUGAUAUGUUAUAUA